rnacentral:rRNA from 1 species
CAGCCGCCGCGGUAAUACCGGCGGCCCGAGUGGCGGUCACUAUUAUUGGGCUUAAAGCGUCCGUAGCCGGGUUGGGAAGUCCUCCGGGAAAUCUGGCCGCUUAACGGUCAGAAUGCCGGAGGAUACUCCCAGCCUAGGGAGCGGGCGAGGCUGAGGGGAUUCCCGGAGUAGGGGGGAAAUCCUAUAAUCCCGGGAGGACCACCUGUGGCGAAGGCGCUCGGCUGGAACGGGUCCGACGGUGAGGGACGAAGGCCAGGGGAGCAAACCGGAUUAGAUACCCGGGUAGUCCUGGCUGUAAACGAUGCGGACUUUGUGUCGGACAAGCUAUGAGCUUGUCCGGUGCCGGAGGGAAACCGUUAAGUCCGCCGCCUGGGGAGUACGGCCGCAAGGCUGAAACUUAAAGGAAUUGGCGGG